GUGCCAGCAGCCGCGGUAAUACGUAGGGUGCAAGCGUUGUCCGGAAUUAUUGGGCGUAAAGAGCUCGUAGGCGGUUUGUCGCGUCUGCUGUGAAAAUCCAAGGCUCAACCUUGGACCUGCAGUGGGUACGGGCAGACUAGAGUGCGGUAGGGGAGGUGGGAAUUCCUGGUGUAGCGGUGGAAUGCGCAGAUAUCAGGAGGAACACCAAUGGCGAAGGCACAUCUCUGGGCCGUAACUGACGCUGAGGAGCGAAAGCGUGGGGAGCGAACAGGAUUAGAUACCCUGGUAGUCCACGCCGUAAACGGUGGGUGCUAGUUGUGGGCCACAUUCCACGUGGUCCGUGACGAAGUUAACACAUUAAGCACCCCGCCUGGGGAGUACGGUCGCAAGACUAAAACUCAAAGGAAUUGACGGGGGCCCGCACAAGCGGCGGAGCAUGCGGAUUAAUUCGAUGCAACGCGCAGAACCUUACC
rnacentral:rRNA from 1 species